AGCGAACGCUGGCGGCAGGCCUAACACAUGCAAGUCGAACGAAGUCUUCGGACUUAGUGGCGGACGGGUGAGUAACACGUGGGAACGUACCUUUUGGUUCGGAACAACUCAGGGAAACUUGAGCUAAUACCGGAUGAGCCCUUAGGGGGAAAGAUUUACCGCCGAAAGAGCGGCCCGCGUUAGAUUAGCUAGUUGGUGAGGUAAAGGCUCACCAAGGCUACGAUCUAUAGCUGGUCUGAGAGGAUGAUCAGCCACACUGGGACUGAGACACGGCCCAGACUCCUACGGGAGGCAGCAGUGGGGAAUCUUGCGCAAUGGGCGAAAGCCUGACGCAGCCAUGCCGCGUGAAUGAUGAAGGUCUUAGGAUUGUAAAAUUCUUUUACCAGGGACGAUAAUGACGGUACCUGGAGAAAAAGCCCCGGCUAACUUCGUGCCAGCCGCCGCGGUAAAAC
rnacentral:rRNA from 1 species